GAUGCAUCACUUCCGCAGGUGGCAUAUGCCUCAGGAGAAAUGGGGCGGCACAGAUGGCGACAUUGUCAAAAUCUUGUGGACCAGUUUUGGUAUCAAUUUACAAGGAACUACUUACCUGUACUUCAGACACGCCAGAAAUGGCACAAACCAUCUGACAAUUUGGCAGUAGGCUCAGUGGUCUUGAUAAUUGAUCCACAACUUCCCAGAGCUCAGUGGCCUAUUGGUAAAGUGGUUAAGACUGUGGUCAGUAAGGAUGGAUGUGUGAGAACAGCAGAUGUCCUUGUCAAGGGCAAAGUGUACACAAGGCCAGUUGCCCGCCUGAUUCUGUUGCCAGCCUUUGAGGAUGAUACUAAAGACUCUUAAAGAAUUAAUUUACUUGCACAUUUACUGCUCAAAUGUGGGGGCGGCUGUUUUGAAUUCUUUAUGGUUUAUCUCUUAUUGUCCGUAAUUUAUUCUGCUAAUGUGUUAAGUUAUGGAAAAUGCGCUAUACGUAGUUUGAAGCAGAUACGAUUCUAACGUAAGUGAGGUAUUCUCUGCUACACAAACGCAGCAGCCGGAGUUUUUGUAGCUUGAGUUUCAUAGCGUUUGCAGACUUUCCACUCGUGUGCAACAUCCUUGAGUGCAAGUUAAAGUUACUGACAAAAAACUACCUCAGUUGUAUACUGUCAUGUGUACAAGGUUGAAACUUGCACAAAAUAAAAGUGGAAACGAAA